rnacentral:lncRNA from 1 species
ACCCAGGAUCACUUCCGAAACCACUUGGCCUUCAGCCCCUGCCUCGGCCAGAGGUUUCAUUUUUAACUGAAUAUUUACGAAAGCUGAAAGCGUGCGAGGGGGGUGGGGUGGAAAUAGCGGCUGCUUCUUUUCCAAGGAUUUAUUUAAUGGGGAUGUGUUCAAGGCAAGACCGAAUUCAGAAGGAUAUCGACGUCGUGAUCCAGAAGUCCAGAGCUGAGGACUGCCUGUUUGCAGGGCCCGCCUGGCAGGACGACUGAGCAAGUUCUUGGAAAACCAGAGAUAUUAGAGCGGUGAAUCGCGCUGGUCACGUUGGACACCUGCGCGUUAGGAGAUUCUGGAGCCAGAGGGAGAGACCCCAGAAACGCCCCGGUCGGCGACCCAGCCCGAGACGCCUGGGGUCCCAAGGGAAGCUGAACGCCCGGUGGGCUCCCGGGAUGGUUCUUCCGGUUCUUUGUGCCGCCUUCACCCAGUGAAGGAGCCUGUAUCCACCCUGCCCAGUCGCUGUUGGGCUGCUGCGGAGCUUCCGCUGCCAUCUUCGGAUCCUGUGUUCCGCCCGGGGCUCCACCAGGGCAGGGAUGGUGCAGAAUGGGGAAAUGGAGAGAGAACCUGAAAGAGCCCCAAACUCGAGGACCUAUUGCUCCCCAAGAAUAACAUCUUCCAGAACUAGACAGAAAACUAGGCGUCUGGGAACCCUGAAAUCCUUGGAGGAGUAGAUCAUCAUGACCCUCUGUGUUCCUUUUGGCAAAUGACUUGCUUCCAUUGUUUGUUUGUUCAAUUGUCUGUUUGUUAAAUAAAUAAAACCCUUUUUAUGUAUCUUUAAAAUUACAUUGGUUCUAUUAUUUUAUGAUUACAAACGAUGCUGCAGUCAUCAUUCUUGUACACUUCUCAUUGGCCACUGGUGUAUUUCUAUAGGGUGGAGGCCUGGAGAGCAGUUGUUCCAGCAUAGUGUUUACAUAGCUUUUAUUUAAUUCCGUUUUCUUUCCUUUGUUGCUUUAUUAGCUAUAACCCUUCUCUUAUUUCAGUGGCAGCUUUAGGGUUUCUGGGAUACAUCUUUAAUUUAUCACAUUCUGCUUUCAAGUGUAAUUAUACCUCCCUUUCUGGCCUUUAUCCUAGUGUUACGUAUUUUUACUUUAUGCAUUAUAAGUUUUGUGAUUAUCAUUACCUUCAUUUAUUAUGUCAAAUAUUUUUAAAAAGAUUUAAAUUAUAAGAAAAUGUGUAGUACAUGCUUUCUAAAUGCCAUUUCCAAUAUUUGUUUUUGUAUAGGUCCAGAUUUUUAUCUGGGAUCCUUUUGCUUCUGCCUGGAGGACUCUUAAGAUUUCUUGUAGCGUGGGUUGGUGAAUUCUUUUAGUUUUUGUAUGUUUUUCAAUGUCCUUAUUUCACUCACAGUUUUGAAAUUUUAUUUUUGCAUAGAAUUCUAGGUUAAUUUUUUUCUCUAGUACUUUAAAAAUGUUGCCAUUUAUGAAGCAUUGCCAUUUAAAGUAUCAUCUUUCAUGUGCUUGUGAAAAUGGCAUAAAGCCGGUUUCUUGUGCUGGUUAUGUAAUUUUCAGAAUGUGUAUUUAAAUUUAAAAUAUUAAAUUUUCCUAAAAAACUAAAAAUAUUAAUCAUGAAUGUCCUAGAUUCAUCUUAAAUUCCACCAACAGUGCACUUAAAAUGUGCCCAACCUGAGGGUCAAACCUACCUGCUGACAUGUAAUUUGUGUUUGUGAGACAUUCUCAACAGCAUUUGCUUUCCCCAGCUGAGUGAUCUUCCUCACAUCUGAAUGUCUUCAGUGCAAAAGGAAAUGUUUUUCUUCGCAAAAAUACUUUCAAAUACUCUUACUUCAAGGAAGUGCAUUAAAAACAAACUUCUCAUUUGCAUCCCUGGAAUUCAAAGCCCUAAUCAAGUGCUUCAGGAUCAAGAGCUAAACAGGGGAGGACAAAGCGUGGCUUCUUCACUAGGAGUCAAGCCAAAGUCAACUGGUUUGAUCGCCAACGUAGAUCGGAACUCGGUUCACCAGCGACCUGAGGACCCGGCCCAGAAGAGGGAGUGUCUCUUCAUGGUGCCUUCAGAUAGAAAAUCUCCUAGGAUUUCUUUCUUUCCCUUUGAUCUACUUCCAACUCUCCCUUUCUAUUUCUUCAAGACCUUUUUCGGAUCCCUACUGCGAAGGACCUAAGGGGCCGGUGCCCUUCCCCACUGGUCCCUCCCUGCCUGGUGUCUUAGGAGCCCAAGCUCACCUGGAACAUUACUGCCCGCCGGAGACAGCGAGAGGACCAAGGAGCGCGGCGGUGCGGUGGGAACCACAGCGUCACCGCUCACCUGCGCCUCGUGGGCUCCUAGAAAAUUGAAUAAAUGCCCCCUGAAGCUUCUCUGCAGGUCACACGGAAGAGGAGGGUGGCUGCCGACACGCGGGAGAAGCUUCAAGAAGCGUCGGGAGGACCUACCUGGUCCUGCCCCUGGGCCUUGAAGACAGGCCUGGCCAGGCUGAUUUGGUCCGGUAGUCUCAAAGAAAAUGUUCAAGGGUGGCCCAAACCUCCACCCCAAGAUUAAGGCUCUUAAAUGUCUGACGGUUUUGAGACUCGUCAGUAGAAUCAAUCCCGCCUGUAUCAGGAGACUCCUUUGCCAAAAUUCAAAGACCAAGAAAGAGAAAGAUUGGGCAGGUUAAAGUCUGUAAUUAACCAAACAGGAGACAGAAUUUUUCUGAGAAAUUGUAUGUGUGCUGUGAGAAAAAGACUAGCCUCAAGGAGAAUCUGUUCUUUUGGCUUAAUUGUAGGAAAGAAUGGAAUUGCCACCAACAAUGGUACGUUGAAACGGCAGGUGCAUCAGGCUGUAGAUGUGAAGGAAUUAAAAAUAUUUUACCCCAAAAUACAUUUCUUUGACAUAUUUUGAGAUGUCUGUUCAGAAAGCCAGCUGCAGAAGUAGCCCUGCAAAGUUGUCUUUCGUUGGGGAGAUUUGCAUCUGUAGGGAAUCUGCAUUGAUGCAGCCAAGUCUUUCCUUGCCCAGAUCUAGGAAAGAUUAACUGAGAGUCUGACAGCUGUAAAGGUCUGAAAGAAACUUUCAGAGCUUAUUCUUUCUGAGAGCUGCUGCCUGUAAGGUUUCAUUUACAUAUUAAGAUCACCUUUGCUAGCCAGGCCUCCUCUUCUCUCCCUCCCAUAACCUGUCUUGCCCACAAUAAAUGGAUAUACCUCUGACUCUAA